rnacentral:rRNA from 1 species
UACGGAGGGUGCAAGCGUUAAUCGGAAUUACUGGGCGUAAAGCGCACGCAGGUGGCUGAGUCAGUCGAUUGUGAAAGCCCUGGGCUUAACCUGGGAAUUGCAGUCGAUACUACUCAGCUAGAGUAUGGGAGAGGGUAGUGGAAUUCCCGGUGUAGCGGUGAAAUGCGUAGAUAUCAGGAGGAACACCGAUGGCGAAGGCAGGUCUCUGGGCAUUAACUGACGCUGAGGAGCGAAAGCAUGGGGAGCGAACAGG